GAUGAACGCUGGCGGCGUGCCUAAUACAUGCAAGUCGAGCGAACAGACGAGGAGCUUGCUCCUCUGACGUUAGCGGCGGACGGGUGAGUAACACGUGGAUAACCUACCUAUAAGACUGGGAUAACUUCGGGAAACCGGAGCUAAUACCGGAUAAUAUAUUGAACCGCAUGGUUCAAUAGUGAAAGACGGUUUUGCUGUCACUACUGGUGGGUUCCGCGCCGCAUUAGCUAGUGGGUAAGGUAACGGUUUACCAAGGAAACCAUGCGUAGCCGACCGGAGAGGGUGAUCGGCCACACUGGAACUGAGACACGGUCCAGACUCCUACGGGAGGCAGCAGUAGGGAAUCUUCCGCAAUGGGCGAAAGCCUGACGGAGCAACGCCGCGUGAGUGAUGAAGGUCUUCGGAUCGUAAAACUCUGUUAUUAGGGAAGAACAAAUGUGUAAGUAACUAUGCACGUCUUGACGGUACCUAAUCAGAAAGCCACGGCUAACUACGUG
rnacentral:rRNA from 1 species